rnacentral:rRNA from 1 species
AGAGUUUGAUCAUGGCUCAGGACGAACGCUGGCGGCAGGCCUAACACAUGCAAGUCGAGCGGUAACAGGGGAAGCUUGCUUCUCGCUGACGAGCGGCGGACGGGUGAGUAACACGUGGGCAACCUGCCCAACAGAGGGGGAUAACACUUGGAAACAGGUGCUAAUACCGCAUAGGUCAUCAUUCCACAUGGAAAGAUGACAAAAGACGCUACGGUGUCGCUGUUGGAUGGGCCCGCGCUGCAUUAGUUAGUUGGUGAGGUAAAGGCUCACCAAGGCGAUGAUACAUAGCCGACCUGAGAGGGUGAUCGGCCACAUUGGGACUGAGACACGGCCCAAACUCCUACGGGAGGCAGCAGUAGGGAAUCUUCGGCAAUGGACGAAAGUCUGACCGAGCAACGCCGCGUGAGUGAAGAAGGUUUUCGGAUCGUAAAACUCUGUUGGUAGAGAAGAACGUUGGUGAGAGUGGAAAGCUCAUCAAGUGACGGUAACUACCCAGAAAGGGACGGCUAACUACGUGCCAGCAGCCGCGGUAAUUC